rnacentral:rRNA from 1 species
AACGAACGCUGGCGGCAGGCCUAACACAUGCAAGUCGAGCGAAGCCUUCGGGCUUAGCGGCGGACGGGUGAGUAGCGCGUGGGAACGUGCCCUUUGGUACGGAAUAGCCCCGGGAAACUGGGAGUAAUACCGUAUGUGGUCGAGAGACGAAAGAUUUAUCGCCAAAGGAUCGGCCCGCGUUGGAUUAGGUUGUUGGUGGGGGAAUGGCCUACCAAGCCGACGAUCCAUAGCUGGUUUGAGAGGAUGAUCAGCCACACUGGGACUGAGACACGGCCCAGACUCCUACGGGAGGCAGCAGUGGGGAAUCUUAGACAAUGGGGGGAACCCUGAUCUAGCCAUGCCGCGUGAUCGAUGAAGGCCUUAGGGUUGUAAAGAUCUUUCAGUGGGGAAGAUAAUGACUGUACCCACAGAAGAAGCCCCGGCUAACUCCGUGCCAGCCGCCGCCGUAAGAC